GGGCCGUUAGCUCAGUUGGUAGAGCACCACAUUUGCAAUGUGGGGGUCAGCGGUUCGAAUCCGCUACGGUCCA
rnacentral:tRNA from 1 species